CUUUGCUGGUAUUCCUCCAGGGAUGAGAGAGUGGCCAGUUCAGACUACUGUGGGAGAAGCGGCUUCCAUAUCUUGCAUCAAUGCUUUGUUGACGUUCUUUUAAUCCUGCCAAGUGAAUUGUCUUACAGAAUAAGCGAGAGAAGCUUACAGAAUGUAUCUCUGCCUGCUGCACCACGGGCUAACCAGACUUUCCCACCGACUACAUGAAAGGAGUGCAUGUUUGAGGCAUGUCAUCAGCACGAGGCCAAGGCUCAGAUCGAACCAUCACUGGAGACCCGCGGUGACCUGUAUCUACCAGCCGUUUUGUGAACACUGAUGGGAAGGCAGUGGUCGGUCACACACGCACUGUCAGCCAGCAACGAUGAUCAGAUUUUCCAGAGAGAACCAGCUAGAACCUAGAGACCAG